rnacentral:lncRNA from 1 species
CUAUGAUUCAUAUCCCCAGAUAUUCUCUGGCAUUCUCACUAUAUAGUUUCCUUUUUUUUUUUUUUUUUUUUGUACUGUAUUGCUUUUUUUUUUUUUUUUCCCCCAGAAAGAGAAAAUCUUACUGGAGAAAACCAUGCCAAGCCUGAGAACAUUGAGUACCCAAGGCCAAGCUCAACAAGGGCAGAGAACUUUCCGGCAAGAAAUUAUCCCAUCUGUAACAAGGCCAGUCUCAUGGUCUACAGCUCACAAUUGGCAAGAAGAUAGAUUAAAUGGACAUUCAAGGACCUGCACAUUUGGUCCCAGCAUCCUCCCAGUUCACCCCGUAGGCCACCCACAUGGACUCAUUGUCCUCAUUUUUGUGUUACAACUUUCGCACAUGCUACUUCCUUUGCCUGGAAAGACUUCUUUCUGAUUCUACUUGCCUGGAAAAGCCCAACCAUCCUUUAAGAAUCAGCUCAAAGGUCACCUCCUCUAUGAAGGCUCUCCUGUAUACUCAGUCAUUCACCCACACAUGCUUAUUGAGUACUGUUGUGCUCUUCAGCCAAGACUACCAUGAACCUGCCAGCAAUGAAACAAGGAGGCUCAGAAACUUCGUAUCUACCAGUGUGGCUGGUAUAGACUUUGGCUGCCAUUCACAGGAUUAUCAAGAAGAUCGAGAUCCCAAAAAGCUAAGGAGCUACUGUCCUGGAAGGGAAGAAAACCCACUCCUGGCUUCAAAAGACAGCCAUUGGCUCUAUAACCCUGGCCAGAGUCCAGACAGGAUUGGGGAGAGGAGGUGGGAAACCUAUCCCCUGAUGGCACAGCAGAGACAGAGGCAUAUUGUGUGA